rnacentral:rRNA from 1 species
UGGGGAAUAUUGCACAAUGGGCGCAAGCCUGAUGCAGCCAUGCCGCGUGUAUGAAGAAGGCCUUCGGGUUGUAAAGUACUUUCAGCGGGGAGGAAGGGAGUAAAGUUAAUACCUUUGCUCAUUGACGUUACCCGCAGAAGAAGCACCGGCUAACUCCGUGCCAGCAGCCGCGGUAAUACGGAGGGUGCAAGCGUUAUUCGGAAUUACUGGGCGUAAAGCGCACGCAGGCGGUUUGUUAAGUCAGAUGUGAAAUCCCCGGGCUCAACCUGGGAACUGCAUCUGAUACUGGCAAGCUUGCGUCUCGUAGAGGGGGGUAGAAUUCCAGGUGUAGCGGUGAAAUGCGUAGAGAUCUGGAGGAAUACCGGUGGCGAAGGCGGCCCCCUGGACGAAGACUGACGCUCAGGUGCGAAAGCGUGGGGAGCAAACAGG